UACGUAGGGUGCAAGCGUUGUCCGGAAUUAUUGGGCGUAAAGAGCUCGUAGGCGGUUUGUCGCGUCGGCUGUGAAAACUCGGGGCUCAACCCCGAGCCUGCAGUCGAUACGGGCAAACUAGAGUGCUGUAGGGGAGACUGGAAUUCCUGGUGUAGCGGUGAAAUGCUUAGAUAUCGGGAGGAACACCAGUGGCGAAGGCGGUGCUCUGGGCCGGGAACUGACGCUGAGGAGCGAAAGCGUGGGUAGCAAACAGG
rnacentral:rRNA from 1 species